AGAAUCAACGCUGGCGGCGUGCCUAACACAUGCAAGUCGAACGAGAAAGUGGAGCAAUCCAUGAGUAAAGUGGCGACCGGGUGAGUAACACGUGACUAACCUACCUUCGAGUGGGGGAUAACCUCGGGAAACCGGGGCUAAUACCGCAUAAAAUCUUUGGAUCGGAAGAACUGGAGAUCAAUGGAGCAAUUCGCUUGAAGAGGGGGUCGCGGCUGAUUAGCUAGUUGGCGGGGUAAUGGCCCACCAAGGCUUUGAUCGGUAGCCGGCCUGAGAGGGCGCACGGCCACACUGGAACUGAAACACGGUCCAGACUCCUACGGGAGGCAGCAGUGGGGAAUUUUGCGCAAUGGGGGAAACCCUGACGCAGCAACGCCGCGUGGAGGAUGAAGUCCCUUGGGACGUAAACUCCUUUCGACCGGGACGAUUAUGACGGUACCGGUGGAAGAAGCCCCGGCUAACUUCGCGCCAGCAGCCGC
rnacentral:rRNA from 1 species